rnacentral:rRNA from 1 species
AUUGAACGCUGGCGGCAGGCCUAACACAUGCAAGUCGAGCGGAUGAAGGGAGCUUGCUCCUGGAUUCAGCGGCGGACGGGUGAGUAAUGCCUAGGAAUCUGCCUGGUAGUGGGGGAUAACGUCCGGGAACGGGCGCUAAUACCGCAUACGUCCUGAGGGAGAAAGUGGGGGAUCUUCGGACCUCACGCUAUCAGAUGAGCCUAGGUCGGAUUAGCUAGUUGGUGGGGUAAAGGCCUACCAAGGCGACGAUCCGUAACUGGUCUGAGAGGAUGAUCAGUCACACUGGAACUGAGACACGGUCCAGACUCCUACGGGAGGCAGCAGUGGGGAAUAUUGGACAAUGGGCGAAAGCCUGAUCCAGCCAUGCCGCGUGUGUGAAGAAGGUCUUCGGAUUGUAAAGCACUUUAAGUUGGGAGGAAGGGCAGUAAGUUAAUACCUUGCUGUUUUGACGUUACCAACAGAAUAGGCACCGGCUAACUUCGUG